CGGGCCCUUAUGCAGAAGCCUCACACAUCCUCAGCUCCUGAUCUUCUGUGUCUCAGCCUGUGCUCCUCAGCGCAGUGGAGAGUGAAAAUGAGACAGCUGCUGCUCAGGCUGAUGCAGGUGAUGCACCUUGGGGACCAGACAUCACUGUGAGCAAAGCAAGCAUCGUCACCUGAUAUGAGGCAAGAGCUGUGUCUUGGGCAGUUUGGGCCUGAUUUCCUUUCUCUACUUCUGGGGUUUGCAG
rnacentral:lncRNA from 1 species